AUUGAACGCUGGCGGCAGGCCUAACACAUGCAAGUCGAAUGGUAACAGGAAACAGCUUGCUGUUUCGCUGACGAGUGGCGGACGGGUGAGGAAUGUCUGGGAAACUGCCUGAUGGAGGGGGAUAACUACUGGAAACGGUAGCUAAUACCGCAUAACGUCGCAAGACCAAAGAGGGGGACCUUCGGGCCUCUUGCCAUUAGAUGUGCCCAGAUGGGAUUAGCUAGUAGGUGGGGUAACGGCUCACCUAGGCGACGAUCCCUAGCUGGUCUGAGAGGAUGACCAGCCACACUGGAACUGAGACACGGUCCAGACUCCUACGGGAGGCAGCAGUGGGGAAUAUUGCACAAUGGGCGAAAGCCUGAUGCAGCCAUGCCGCGUGUAUGAAGAAGGCCUUCGGGUUGUAAAGUACUUUCAGCGGGGAGGAAGGGAGUAAAGUUAAUACCUUUGCUCAUUGACGUUACCCGCAGAAGAAGCACCGGCUAACUCCGUG
rnacentral:rRNA from 1 species